rnacentral:rRNA from 1 species
AGUGAACGCUGGCGGUAGGCCUAACACAUGCAAGUCGAACGGCAGCACAGUAAGAGCUUGCUCUUACGGGUGGCGAGUGGCGGACGGGUGAGGAAUACAUCGGAAUCUACUUUUUCGUGGGGGAUAACGGAGGGAAACUUACGCUAAUACCGCAUACGACCUACGGGUGAAAGCAGUGGAUCUACGGACCUUGCGCGAUUGAAUGAGCCGAAGUCGGAUUAGCUAGUUGGCGGGGUAAAGGCCCACCAAGGCGACGAUCCGUAGCUGGUCUGAGAGGAUGAUCAGCCACACUGGAACUGAGACACGGUCCAGACUCCUACGGGAGGCAGCAGUGGGGAAUAUUGGACAAUGGGCGCAAGCCUGAUCCAGCCAUACCGCGUGAGUGAAGAAGGCCUUCGGGUUGUAAAGCCCUUUUGUUGGGAAAGAAAAGCAGCAGGAUAAUACCCCGCUGUUCUGACGGUACCCAAAGAAUAAGCACCGGCUAACUUCGUG